UUGAGAGUUUGAUCCUGGCUCAGGAUGAACGCUGGCGGCGUGCCUAACACAUGCAAGUUGAGCGAUUUACUUCGGUAAAGAGCGGCGGACGGGUGAGUAACGCGGGGGUAACCUACCCUGUACACACGGAUAACAUACCGAAAGGUAUGCUAAUACGGGAUAAUAUAUUUGAGAGGCAUCUCUUGAAUAUCAAAGGUGAGCCAGUA
rnacentral:rRNA from 1 species